rnacentral:rRNA from 1 species
AGAUUGAACGCUGGCGGCAUGCUUUACACAUGCAAGUCGAACGGCAGCACGGGGGCAACCCUGGUGGCGAGUGGCGAACGGGUGAGUAAUAUAUCGGAACGUACCCGGAAAUGGGGGAUAACGUAGCGAAAGUUACGCUAAUACCGCAUAUGCCCUGAGGGGGAAAGCGGGGGAUUCGUAAGAACCUCGCGUUUUCGGAGCGGCCGAUAUCGGAUUAGCUAGUAGGUGAGGUAAAGGCUCACCUAGGCGACGAUCCGUAGCUGGUCUGAGAGGACGACCAGCCACACUGGAACUGAGACACGGUCCAGACUCCUACGGGAGGCAGCAGUGGGGAAUUUGGACAAUGGGCGCAAGCCUGAUCCAGCCAUGCCGCGUGAGUGAAGAGGCCUUCGGGUGUAAAGCUCUUCGGCGGGACGAUAAUGACGGUACCGCAGAAGAACGCCCGGCUAACUUCGUGCCAGCAGCCGAC